rnacentral:rRNA from 1 species
UACGUAGGGCGCAAGCGUUGUCCGGAAUUAUUGGGCGUAAAGAGCUCGUAGGCGGUUUGUCGCGUCUGCCGCGAAAGCCCGGGGCUUAACUCCGGGUCUGCGGUGGAUACGGGCAGACUAGAGGCAGGUAGGGGAGAACGGAAUUCCCGGUGUAGCGGUGAAAUGCGCAGAUAUCGGGAGGAACACCGGUGGCGAAGGCGGUUCUCUGGGCCUGUACUGACGCUGAGGAGCGAAAGCGUGGGGAGCGAACAGG